rnacentral:misc_RNA from 1 species
AAGUCGUAACAAGGUUUCCGUAGGUGAACCUGCGGAAGGAUCAUUAACACGUAUCCAACGUUAAACAACCCUGUGAACCUUCAUACGCGAGCUCUCCAACUGGCCGUGUCAAGCAAUUCCUGGUAACUCACGCAAUCAGAUUGAUUCAGGAACCUCUUGAUGCUUGUGACUCUUGGAUUUGAUGCGGUGUUCGUAACGCUAGACUUGGUUUCCGAAGGCACCUCGGUGCUCAAGGAUAACUACCCUUCAUCGGGUAGAUCAUUCGGUCCUUACGGUUGGGGUGAAAGUCCCCCAAUAUUCACUACCUAAUAAUUCAAUUCGGCGACGCUUAGACGCUCGCACCAAAAACCGAACAACUGUUAACAAUGGAUAUCUUGGUUCUC